rnacentral:lncRNA from 1 species
CGAGAACUGUUUUGUGAACUGACGGAGACAGAAUUCUGUUUGGAGUUGGUUAAGAGAUAAGUGGAAAUCAUUAAAAUGAAGACAGAAAGAAGUCUGUUCACUCAGGAAUGAAGACAAGACACCAGAAUGAAGACACUGAAUAAAUUCAGCCCUCGUUUUCAUUCUUGUGCUGGGUUCAGCGAACUGUUACUGCAGACAAAUUAUUGCAACAUUCUUUCAAAUGAUAGCCAAUUUUCAACUAAGAGAAGAUUCUUAAACCUUUUUUCUACAUAUCGGUGAAAACCAGGCAGUUGGAAAAUAUAGCACUGGUUAAACUACCUGAUGACAAAUGAAUAUUUUAAAUGCGUGGAAUUAUUUGAGAAUCUGCAUACUGACUUAAACCCUCAUAAGAAACAGCAGCAAAGACCCCAAAAACUUGACACUUCUCAGCAAAAGAAGUUUUCAUUUUCCAGUGACUCAUUAUUCAAGCCAAGAGAAGAUGGUACAGAUGAGGAGAAAAGUUCCAUCCCCAUAAGAACCAUGCAAGUUUGCUAGACAUCAGUGUCAGAGACCAGAUCUUCCAGCCUGACCUCCUAUUGCUCCUCUAUGGGUUACUGGUCUAAAGGACACUGGGUGAGAUAGUGCGGAUUUCUCCAAACCCACCUCCACUAGCCCAAAAAUGUGUACGCAAAGGAUGGAGAUGAAGAUGAAAACUGCAAAGAGAGCCAGGUAGUUAGAGAGAAGCUUAACAGAUGUGGGAAGCAGAUAAAGGAGUGAAAGACUAACAACAAAAUGCCAGAAGGAGCUCUUCUUAUCAGAAGGGCCAUAUAUUUCUAGUUCACAUGUUGAAAACACUCUUUAUCCUAUUACAUCAAUUCAUAAAAACGGAAAUAAAGCUCCACUUUAAAAGAC